rnacentral:rRNA from 1 species
GACAGAGGCCUCAAGCGUUAGGCGGAAUCACUGGGCUUAAAGCGUGUGUAGGCGGAUUGCUAAGUACCUUGUGAAAUCCCACGGCUUAACCGUGGAACUGCUUGGUAUACUGGCUGUCUUGAGCCACUUAGGGGCAACCGGAACAAACGGUGGAGCGGUGAAAUGCGUAGAUAUCGUUUGGAACGCCAAUGGUGAAAACAGGUUGCUGGGAGUGAUGCUGACGCUGAGACACGAAAGCCAGGGGAGCAAACGGG